rnacentral:SRP_RNA from 1 species
UUCUUAGACCUAUGCAACGGGGUUUUUAGACAACGCUUCAGGGUGGGAACACAGCAGAGCAGCUGAAUAUCUUGUGUGCCUUAGCCAUCUGAGAAGGG